rnacentral:rRNA from 1 species
UGGGGAAUAUUGGACAAUGGGCGCAAGCCUGAUCCAGCCAUGCCGCGUGGGUGAAGAAGGCCUUCGGGUUGUAAAGCCCUUUUGUUGGGAAAGAAAAGCAGUCGGUUAAUACCCGAUUGUUCUGACGGUACCCAAAGAAUAAGCACCGGCUAACUUCGUGCCAGCAGCCGCGGUAAUACGAAGGGUGCAAGCGUUACUCGGAAUUACUGGGCGUAAAGCGUGCGUAGGUGGUGGUUUAAGUCUGUUGUGAAAGCCCUGGGCUCAACCUGGGAAUUGCAGUGGAUACUGGGUCACUAGAGUGUGGUAGAGGGUAGCGGAAUUCCCAGUGUAGCAGUGAAAUGCGUAGAGAUCAGGAAGAACAUCCGUGGCGAAGGCGGCUACCUAGACCAACACUGACACUGAGGCACGAAAGCGUAGAAAGCAAACAAAAUUAGAUACCCUGGUAGUCCACGCCCUAAACGAUGCGAACUAGAUGUUAGGUGCAAUUUGGCACGCAGUAUCGAAGCUAACGCGUUAAGUUCGCCGCCUGGGGAGUACGGUCGCAAGACUG